rnacentral:rRNA from 1 species
UCCCAGACUCCUACGGGAGGCAGCAGUGGGGAAUAUUGCACAAUGGGGGAAACCCUGAUGCAGCGACGCCGCGUGAGUGAAGAAGUAUUUCGGUAUGUAAAGCUCUAUCAGCAGGGAAGAAAAUGACGGUACCUGACUAAGAAGCCCCGGCUAACUACGUGCCAGCAGCCGCGGUAAUACAUAGGGGGCAAGCGUUAUCCGGAUUUACUGGGUGUAAAGGGAGCGUAGACGGCAGCGCAAGUCUGAAGUGAAGUCCCAUGGCUUAACCAUGGAACUGCUUUGGAAACUGUGCAGCUGGAGUGCAGGAGAGGUAAGCGGAAUUCCUAGUGUAGCGGUGAAAUGCGUAGAUAUUAGGAGGAACACCAGUGGCGAAGGCGGCUUACUGGACUGUAACUGACGUUGAGGCUCGAAAGCGUGGGGAGCAAACAGGAUUAGAUACCCCCGUAACC